rnacentral:rRNA from 1 species
UUGGUUAAGUUAGAAAGGGCGCACGGUGGAUGCCUUGGCACUAGGAGCCGAAGAAGGACGGGACUAACACCGAUAUGCUUUGGGGAGCUGUACGUAAGCGUUGAUCCAGAGAUUUCCGAAUGGGGGAACCCACUAUCUUUAGUCGGAUAGUAUCCUUACGUGAAUACAUAGCGUGAGGAAGGCAGACCCAGGGAACUGAAACAUCUAAGUACCUGGAGGAAGAGAAAGAAAAAUCGAUUUCCUGAGUAGCGGCGAGCGAAACGGAAAGAGCCCAAACCAAGAAGCUUGCUUCUUGGGGUUGUAGGACACUCUAUACGGAGUUACAAAAGAAAGUUAUAAAUGAAGCGGUCUGGAAAGGCCCGCCAAAGACGGUAACAGCCCGGUAGUUGAAAUGGCUUUCCCUCCAGAGUGGAUCCUGAGUACGGCGGAACACGUGAAAUUCCGUCGGAAUCCGGGAGGACCAUCUCCCAAGGCUAAAUACUCCCUAGUGACCGAUAGUGAACCAGUACCGUGAGGGAAAGGUGAAAAGCACCCCGGAAGGGGAGUGAAACAGUUCCUGAAACCGUGUGCCUACAAGUAGUUAGAGCCCGUUAAUGGGUGAUAGCGUGCCUUUUGUAGAAUGAACCGGCGAGUUACGAUUUGUUGCAAGGUUAAGCGGAAAAAGCGGAGCCGUAGCGAAAGCGAGUCUGAAUAGGGCGCAUAAGUAACAGGUCGUAGACCCGAAACCAGGUGAUCUACCCAUGUCCAGGAUGAAGGUAAGGUAAUACUUACUGGAGGUCCGAACCCACGCACGUUGAAAAGUGCGGGGAUGAGGUGUGGGUAGCGGAGAAAUUCCAAUCGAACUUGGAGAUAGCUGGUUCUCUCCGAAAUAGCUUUAGGGCUAGCCUCGAGGUAAAGAGUCAUGGAGGUAGAGCACUGUUUGGACUAGGGGCCCUUCUCGGGUUACCGAAUUCAGAUAAACUCCGAAUGCCAUGUACUUAUACUCGGGAGUCAGACUGCGAGUGAUAAGAUCCGUAGUCGAAAGGGAAACAGCCCAGACCACCAGUUAAGGUCCCCAAAUAUAUGUUAAGUGGAAAAGGAUGUGGGGUUGCUUAGACAACCAGGAUGUUGGCUUAGAAGCAGCCACCAUUGAAAGAGUGCGUAAUAGCUCACUGGUCGAGUGACCCCGCGCCGAAAAUGUACCGGGGCUAAACAUAUUACCGAAACUGUGGAUGAACCUCUUUAGAGGUUCGUGGUAGGAGAGCGUUCUAAGGGCGGUGAAGUCAGACCGGAAGGACUGGUGGAGCGCUUAGAAGUGAGAAUGCCGGUAUGAGUAGCGAAAGAAGGGUGAGAAUCCCUUCCACCGAAUAUCUAAGGUUUCCUGAGGAAGGCUCGUCCGCUCAGGGUUAGUCGGGACCUAAGCCGAGGCCGAUAGGCGUAGGCGAUGGACAACAGGUAGAGAUUCCUGUACCAGUGCUAAUUGUUUAACCGAUGGGGUGACACAGAAGGAUAGGGAAUCGCACGAAUGGAAAUGUGCGUCCAAGCAGUGAGUGUGAGAAGUAGGCAAAUCCGCUUCUCGCGAAGCAUGAGCUGUGAUGGGGAAGGAAAUUAAGUACGGAAGUUCCUGAUUUCACGCUGUCAAGAAAAGCCUCUAGGAAGAGUAGUACUGCCCGUACCGCAAACCGACACAGGUAGAUGAGGAGAGAAUCCUAAGGUGAGCGAGAGAACUCUCGUUAAGGAACUCGGCAAAAUGACCCCGUAACUUCGGGAGAAGGGGUGCUCUAUUAGGGUGCAAGCCCGAGAGAGCCGCAGUGAAUAGGCCCAGGCGACUGUUUAGCAAAAACACAGGUCUCUGCAAAACCGUAAGGUGACGUAUAGGGGCUGACGCCUGCCCGGUGCUGGAAGGUUAAGAGGAGUGCUUAGCUUCGGCGAAGGUACGAAUUGAAGCCCCAGUAAACGGCGGCCGUAACUAUAACGGUCCUAAGGUAGCGAAAUUCCUUGUCGGGUAAGUUCCGACCCGCACGAAAGGCGCAACGAUCUGGGCACUGUCUCAACGAGAGACUCGGUGAAAUUAUAGUACCUGUGAAGAUGCAGGUUACCCGCGACAGGACGGAAAGACCCCGUGGAGCUUUACUGCAACCUGAUAUGGAAUGUUUGUACCGCUUGUACAGGAUAGGUAGGAGCCGAAGAGACGUGUGCGCUAGCAUACGAGGAGGCAAUGGUGGGAUACUACCCUGGCUGUAUGACCAUUCUAACCCGCCACGCUUAGCGCGUGGGGAGACAGUGUCAGGUGGGCAGUUUGACUGGGGCGGUCGCCUCCUAAAGAGUAACGGAGGCGCCCAAAGGUUCCCUCAGAAUGGAUGGAAAUCAUUCGCAGAGUGUAAAGGCACAAGGGAGCUUGACUGCGAGACUGACAAGUCGAGCAG